GAUAACAUGACGACGAAGAAAGUAGCGUUUGCGUGAUACCGUCAAAGAGAAUGUGUGCCGAGGCUGAAAGCAUACAACGGUGUUGCAGGUGUGAAGUUCCCUUCCGAGUGGUGAGGUUGAAAUUUUCAGUAGAUCUCAACGGCUGACUCCGUUACAGGUUGUGAAAGUGUCUGCUUUCGGGAGUGUUUGCUUUGAUGCAAAAAUCAGGGUGGUACCACGGAUUAUUUCGUCCCUGCG
rnacentral:ncRNA from 1 species